UACAAAUGGUUGAACAUGCACAGGGGUGUGU
rnacentral:piRNA from 1 species